rnacentral:ncRNA from 2 species
UAAUCUCCAAAAUAUGGUUGGGGAGCCUCCACCAGUGAACCGUAAAAUCGCUGUC